rnacentral:rRNA from 1 species
UACGGAAGGCAGCAGUGGGGAAUAUUGCACAAUGGGCGAAAGCCUGAUGCAGCUAUGCCGCGUGUAUGAAGAAGGCCUUAGGGUUGUAAAGUACUUUCAUCGGGGAGGAAAAACAAAACUAAUAAUUUUAUUUCUUGACGUUACCCGAAAAAGAAGCACCGGCUAACUCCGUGCCAGCAGCCGCGGUAAUACGGAGGGUGCUAGCGUUAAUCAGAAUUACUGGGCGUAAAGAGCACGUAGGUGGUUUUUUUAAAGUCAGAUGUGAAAUCCCUGGGCUUAACCUAGGAACUGCAUUUUGAAACUGAAAUACUAGAGUAUCGUAGAGGGAGGUAGAAUUCUAGGUGUAAGCGGUGAAAUGCGUAGAUAUCUGGAGGAAUACCUGUGGCGAAAGCGGCCUCCUAAACGAAUACUGACACUGAGGUGCGAAAGCUGGGGGAGCAAACAGGGAUUAGAUAACC